GAAACUUAAAUAAUUUAUAUAAAUAAACUUAGCCUAAGUUACUGCAACGAUUUGGACUUUGUUUAAUCAAUAAAACAACCCACCAUGCAAGGGCUAAAACAAUACAUUACAUGCACAACAGAAGUUUUUUUACAAGAAAGCAGAGAAAAAUAUGGCUAACCCAAAGAACAAAAAUGAAAAAGUUCACAAGCUACGUGAACUAGCACAUUAUUUGUCGUUCUAAUGCCCUUGCUACGUUGUGCAGAGUCCAAAUUGUUACUUCUCUUAAGUUUCACCUAAAUUAUCGUUAGAAUCCAGUGAAGCAAAGCCACUAGGGUAAAUUUUCUUACCUUUACUACGUUUACUGUCCUCUACUAAUUUUUUCACCGCGCCACCCUCAUUAUUACUACUUCGAGCUUUUUCCUCUUCCAUUCUCUUCGACUUCCCUUUUAGGCGUAUUUGCUGGAAGUGAAGAUGGGCAUAGUUUACUCCCAUGGAAGCCAUAUUUCGAAUUUUAUAGAAAAAAUGCUAAGUAUUUGAUGUAUGUUUGCUAAUUGCUU
rnacentral:lncRNA from 1 species